GACGAACGCUGGCGGCGUGCCUAAUACAUGCAAGUUGAGCGCUGAAGGUUGGUACUUGUACCAACUGGAUGAGCAGCGAACGGGUGAGUAACGCGUGGGGAAUCUGCCUUUGAGCGGGGGACAACAUUUGGAAACGAAUGCUAAUACCGCAUAAAAACUUUAAACACAAGUUUUAAGUUUGAAAGAUGCAAUUGCAUCACUCAAAGAUGAUCCCGCGUUGUAUUAGCUAGUUGGUGAGGUAAAGGCUCACCAAGGCGAUGAUACAUAGCCGACCUGAGAGGGUGAUCGGCCACAUUGGGACUGAGACACGGCCCAAACCCCUACGGGAGGCAGCAGUAGGGAAUCAUCGGCAAUGGACGAAAGUCUGACCGAGCAACGCCGCGUGAGUGAAGAAGGGUUUCGGAUCGUAAAACUCUGUUGGUAGAGAAGAACGUUGGUGAGAGUGGAAAGCUCAUCAAGUGACGGUAACUACCCAGAAAGGGACGGCUAACUACGUG
rnacentral:rRNA from 1 species